GGGGAUGUGGCUUAGUGGUAGAGUGCUUGCCUAGUAUGCAUGAGGCCCUGAGUUUGAUUCCCAGCACCA
rnacentral:tRNA from 1 species